UAAUCCUCACAACCACCAUAGGAGACAGU
rnacentral:piRNA from 1 species